CAGUCGCCGCGGUAAUACAGAGGGUGCGAGCGUUAAUCGGAUUUACUGGGCGUAAAGCGUGCGUAGGCGGCUUUUUAAGUCGGAUGUGAAAUCCCUGAGCUUAACUUAGGAAUUGCAUUCGAUACUGGGAAGCUAGAGUAUGGGAGAGGAUGGUAGAAUUCCAGGUGUAGCGGUGAAAUGCGUAGAGAUUUGGAGGAAUACCGAUGGCGAAGGCAGCCAUCUGGCCUAAUACUGACGCUGAGGUACGAAAGCAUGGGGAGCAAACAGGAUUAGAUACCCGCGUAGUCCCUGUCUCUUAUAC
rnacentral:rRNA from 1 species